UGGGGAAUAUUGGACAAUGGGCGAAAGCCUGAUCCAGCCAUGCCGCGUGUGUGAAGAAGGCCUUUUGGUUGUAAAGCACUUUAAGUGGGGAGGAAAAGCUUAUGGUUAAUACCCAUAAGCCCUGACGUUACCCACAGAAUAAGCACCGGCUAACUCUGUGCCAGCAGCCGCGGUAAUACAGAGGGUGCAAGCGUUAAUCGGAAUUACUGGGCGUAAAGCGCGCGUAGGUGGUUAUUUAAGUCAGAUGUGAAAGCCCCGGGCUUAACCUGGGAACUGCAUCUGAUACUGGAUAACUAGAGUAGGUGAGAGGGGAGUAGAAUUCCAGGUGUAGCGGUGAAAUGCGUAGAGAUCUGGAGGAAUACCGAUGGCGAAGGCAGCUCCCUGGCAUCAUACUGACACUGAGGUGCGAAAGCGUGGGUAGCAAACAGGAUUAGAUACCCUGGUAGUCCACGCCGUAAACGCUGUCGAUUUGGGGGUUGGGGUUUAGCUCUGGCGCCCGUAGCUAACGUGAUAAAUCGACCGCCUGGGGAGUACGGCCGCAAGGUUA
rnacentral:rRNA from 1 species